GGCUGCGUGGCGUUCCGCCUCGGUGAUUUCUGGUGAUAUCUCUUGCACUUUUUCACAUGGGUUAUGAUGAGCAACUCUGCCAACGGGAGAUUUGUUUACAGGCAGGAGCAGCUGGUUGCGCUAUGCCAAAGCCCCUACUAAUGCCUGUGAUAAGACCUGGAGUCCCCGAAGAGUUGGAGAGAAGACGAGAAGGAUGCGAGAGAGUCGCAGAAAGGAGAGGAGUAUCUCAUCCUCAGUCGUCGGAGCCUAUGUUAGGUCCCCGGGAGAAGUAAUAUAUCAACCCACAAAGACGGAGUUUAAAAAACGGUGCCUUUGGAAGGAGAAUUUGGACGUUUUAACAUUUUGUGAACCAUUUGUUAACCCAGAAGCAGAAAAAAGGUACCACUGUAAGAAAGAGUAGAUGUCAUAACACGCACGGAGGAAAAUUCCCUGUAUGUGAUUCUAGUUUAAAAACAGAUUUCACGCUGGAGUGAAAAUGUUUUAACUCCUUUUUUGGUCGUAAAACGAGUAUCAACGUCAGACAAAGACAACCGGAUCUCAACUCCUCCUCACGGACUUCAAACGAACAGAAGAAAAUAAGUACAAACGCUGACUGUGGUGAAAUAAAUCCCAUUGCUGGAAGGUCCUGUGGAGCAUUAGGAUGACCUUGUGUAAGCAAAGCACCUUGAAAACAGGGAACCUGCUUCAGGGCGCACGGCCAACCGACCGACCAACCGACCGGCCGACGGCUUAAUAAACUCUGGCACGCGGUGUGCUGCAAACUCUGACAGACAUUCCUCAGCAUCUUUAAACCUCAACCCCAGAAGCCCCGGCGCAGCGCACACUGAACUCUGUGAAGUAGAUCAAUGGGAGGAUUAUCGCAGGACCAAGAUGCCAGCUACAGAGCGGCUCUGUGCCGCCUC